GUUUUUUCCUUGCAAUGUGAGUGCUUUCAGCCAGAGAGUAAAGGACACACCAUAGCACAUCAUGUGAAGGCAGGUGGUGGUAAUGGUGCUGGGAAAAAACACUCUUGCUGGAGUUCGGAGCUUUUCUUCUCAGUUGUUCGGCCACUCGGCCCAAAAAGGGGCAGCACCGGGAGUGGCUCCAUAUGUCUGGUCACUGCUCAUUCCAUUGCUCCCUGGGACUGAAAGCAACACAGAACCCUGGCCUUGUUGACAUCACAAUGCACAUCUGCUGCCUGUCUGACCACCUCCUUCCACAGGAUCACAGACGGUCUCCACUGAGUGAGCCAGAAUGUCGGCAGCAAUGGACCAGCUACGUGCCACACAUCACAGAACUUGAAUAGCAGUUUGGGGGCCAUCAUCACAGGCCCAAAAGUACACAUGGCCAUCCUGGCACUAGCUGGUGAUGGUGCUGAUGGGCGAACCAGGACACAUAUCAAUCUGUAGACUACUUGGGAUUUUCUAUGUAGACAGUCAUGUUCUCUUCAUCUCAGGGAGUGGGGUCAACAGUCACGGCCCACAUGACCGCAUGGCUUCUCACACCGUGGACGAGCUGGUAAGGGCCCCAGAGCCGCCCCGUUUCUUCAGCCAGGAACCCUGCUGUCCUUUGGAUCGGGGGAUUUGAGACGUGAUUUCUACAGGGGACUGCAAUACGCUUGAUGGGAUAGAAACUGCCAUCUGCUUACUGACUUUGUCUACUUCCUAUGCCAUCUGUCAUGGAGGCUGUUGAAGACGAUUCAGCAAGAAAAGAACACGCAUCAGACUGGGAGGUGACCUGCAGAGCACAGAGCACGCGGACAGGACAGAGGGCCUGGGACAGGAGGCCAGCCAGCAUGGGCCCUGCUAUUUUCCACCUCGGAGGCCCAGGUGGACGGGAGGACCUGCAGGCAUCGGGUGCCACGUACGGAAACAUGUACAGAAAACUUAAAGUAAUUUUAGGAAAAACACAAAGGUUAUAAAAAAAGAAGUCAACCAUAAUGAAGUUAUGCAGAAGUAACCACGGCCUUCAUCAUUCACACACCUGAAGACAGACUGAUGGGAUGAGGCACAGGUGCCCUCAUGGUCUGUAUGUGGCCUUAGGGCCUGGGACAGGAUGCAGGCUUCACCGAGGCCAAGUCCCCCACGGGCUCAGGGAAGAGUCCUGUCAACAAAUAAUGGACCCUCUAGAGGAAGAACCAAGGAGGGGCCCCUCUUGGGAUCACAGCCAUACCAGAAACACUGGCAAGUAUCUGUAUGAAUUUCUUCUGUAUUUUAAGAGAUUCUGCUCAGCUUAGUCUCAUAUGGCCCUGAGACUGUCCAAUAGGACGUGUCCUUAGCUGUGUUUUGAAAAUACGUGAGGUGACUUUUAGAACUUACAGAUUCCCAUCCAUCAAAUGGUGAUACAUAUAGUUAACUUGCAAUGUAAAAAGGAGAAAGAGAAAGAGCUUCAAAAACCAAGAGCAUCUGAAAACAUUCCUUUCUCUUCUGGCUACGCCCAGGUGGCUCCACUGUUGCUGCCCUCAUAUCCAUCUGUGAGCAGCAGCCUGCAUGCACUCACCUUCAACCUUCUGCGGUUCAUCCGGACGUACCAGUUGGUUAGGACAUCCACGAACUUGACCAGGCGAGGCACUACAGUAUAGAGCCUGUAAGCUGAAAGCAGGCAAUCAGGCAGUUAAGAACAGGUGAGCAUCUGGGGUACGGCAAGGGCCAGACACAAGACAGGGCUGGCUGCCCUGCCACCCCAGGGCUGCCACGACUGCAGCCUGCACUGUAAGGGGACAGGAAGAAGCAAAGGGACAGCCCUGAUGGCAUGUACCAAGGAUGCACCACAUGGCCGUCAGGGUGUCCAGGGGCACAUGAACCACCCUGUGUGAGCUGAGGACAAGCUCCCGCUGUCAGUGAGAGAAACAGAGCCCCCAGACCCGCGGUGGAGGCCACAGGUGCACGCCACACGGCUCCAUGAGGCCCGUUUCCCUGGUGCUGUGUGUGGGGCAGCACCACGAAAGCUCAACUUCCUUGCACUGUGCUACCAUGAGCGUCCACUAGGUCGUGCUAGAUGCACUGAGGGCUCUAGUCAGGGGCUGAGGCACAGCACCAGGCCAGUGCUUUCCAAGCAGGAACGCUCUGCUCCGAGGUCUGGAGACACUCUGGCGGUCACAGCUGGGCAGGUGGGCCCCGGGGAAGCUGCUCACCGUCCUACAGUGCAGAGCCAGCCCCCUACAGAGGAUGCCUGGCCCAAAUCCCCAGUGGAACAGGCUUCCUAGAGGCCACAAACGUCCAGGAAAGACUGCAGAGGAGGCUGUAAAAGGAGAAAGACAGGAGAGCUCCCGAGGAAUUCCGAGGGCAAAUGGAACGGUGAGGGUGCUCAGCCAGCCAUGUUUGAGGCAUGGGCCUAUAGUUAGGAUUUUCCUGUUCACCUCCCCUUAAUGGAUACUCCACACUGUACAAAAAUACACACCAAAAGCAAGAAUAAGACCAACAAUUAUAAGUAAAUACAACUUAUAUCAAUGAGAGUGUUCAGUAAAUGUUAACGAGGCCUCUGGUCUAAACUGGUAACCAUGGGGCGCCUCGGUGGCUCAGCCGGUUAAGCAUCUGACUCUUGAUUUCUGCUCAGGUCAUGAUCUUGCGGUUUGUAACUUCAAGGUCUUUGUGGGGCUCUGGAACCUGCUUGGGAUUCUCUCUCUCCCCGUCUCUGCCCUUCCCCCACCCCCAAAUAAAAAACUGGUAACCACAAUGAGAAGCUGCCAAGGGCAGAGCGCGGCUCACAAAGACCAGGGCUGAGGUGCUAGUGGCCACUCACUCCCGGAGAGGCGACAUGGCAAGUGGAGGCCUAGUCUGAAGGGAAGAGGAGUAAGAGAUUUCUAGGGUUCACUACACCCCUCGCCUUCUCAGAGGCUAGAGUUCCCUGUGCCUAGGUGUCAACCCUUGGAGGGCACACAGAACCAUCACAGCACAGCAGUACCAUGCGCUGUGGGGUCCCUGACGGGAACUGCAGACCCUCUGGUCCUCAGAACCCUGUCUGUGAAGGGCUGAAGGUAAAGAGUUGGCUGCUGUUCAUCUCCUGUGCUCAGCCAUAUGUGCUUCCCAGGAGACAGGCCCGAGCUCAGGUGCUGCCCAAAGACAGUCCCCAGGCUUGUUUCCUAUCACUCAGGAGGGACGGGUGGACAUGGCUGCGAGCAGGUGUCCUGGGGUGUGCACUGAGCUCUGCCUUACACAUUCAUUUCCAUCUUCACUUACAUCAAUUUGUCCAACAGCUUGAUAGUCACCUGAUCCUUAAUGAUACAUGUUCAGUGGGUGGGCGCAGGCCUCGAGGGAUGGGGCGGAAUCCUUCUGUGCCAGGUGCUGGGGCACCAAGGAGGCCAUAUGCCUGCACGAACGGCAGGGCAUUGGGGGGGCAGGUUAAACUUGUCAGGGCAUGCGCAGCAGAGCCGUCUCUCCUCCUCUGCCCACCGACUUUGUCAGACCCAUGUCAGGUAUCCUACUUUAGUAGUUUCUGGAAUUUCUCUCUCAGACUUGUAGCUAUUCUGUCCCCUACCUCCAGGAAACCAACAUAAGCUACUCUCCCCACCUGUGUCUAAGACCCAAUUCGUUGCUGUUAGGUAACAGAAAUAUGAGGAAAUAUCUGCCUCAUUAUUAUUUUUCUGUAUUUCCUUAUUUUUCUAGACCAAACAGGGACUACUUACUUAAUGAUUAAAGCAGACUAAAAAUAAGUAAAAACGCGUGUUAACAAAUACUACCUGAACAUCUACUAUCUUCUGGCUACUCUAUGCACACGAUCUUGGUUUGAGCCUCAUAACGACGCCUCUAGGCACUUUCCACAGAAAGGAACUGCAGCUUGAGGACUUUAGGCAGCACCUGCCACCGGAAAAGGUGGUGGGGGUGGGUUCUGAACCACUGAAGCCACAGAAGGCCACAGGUCCGCAAUGGUACCUGGGGCGGGCAGGGUGAGGCUGAGCACAUUUCUACAAUAAGCCUUAACAAAACCAUACCUGAGAGAUUAAAAGAAACAAUUACUUGCCUCCUGUUCUGUAUCUCUCAAAUUGCCUAUAAAACUUUCUCUAUGUUUAUAGAGAAACACAGUUAAGCAUCAAAAGGGCAAUCAGAAAGAAAAGAGUCCUUAUAUCCGGCCCUAGAGUCAUACCUGCCAUUUCGGUCUCAAAGAACCCAACCAGCGACUGCAUGCAGGAUAGGAACCAGCGGUCUGUCACGUUGGCACUUUCUUUAACCGUGUUCUCAUUGUACAGGAACUCCAUUUCUUCCUCCUGGGGAGUGACAGUCACUGAAAUGUUCUGUGUGCUUAGGGGAAAUUACCACACAGAAAUGAAUGCUUUGAAUCACUCCACCUGAAAGUAGCUCACAACAAUCCACAAAACCCCAGAACCCAAUGGGCAAUUUAAA